UGUCGCUUGUAUGCCGACGAGGUUGUGGUUCACGGAACUGAAAAUGAAAUUUACACUAGAAGUAGCUGAAGUAUGUACAAGUCAAGAGUGCUCUAGUCCUGCGGGAAAGCAAAUCAGACAAUUUUUUCUCACCAUGGCUGGAAAAACAGAUGACCCAUUUGAGCACUUGCUUAAUAUGUACCGAAAUAUUUCGGAGAUGUGUGUUCUGCACUGCAUUUCGAAGCGAAGGCCAGGGACACCCAGACGUGGAGAGUGCCUUGUUCCCAUCUUGAAAAUGAGUUUCCUCCAGGCCUGCGACUCCGGCUAUCAUUUGAAGUGAAUCUUCAUCCACCAAGAAAAAUGUUCAGCUUUGGGAAGAGAUGGAAGUCUGACAGAGCCAUAUCACGUGAAUAAGGUGCUGUGUGUUGAAUACUGUAUAGCAGAUGAAAUGCAGUAUUUGAGGAAGUCUACAAUAAACAAAUUACCAAACUACAAGAAAGUGUAAUUACCUGAAUUGUUUACAUGUGAAUAUGUAAUUCUUA